AUAUUUGGUACUCAUAUAUCUUCUUUGGUUAAAAUAUUUAAUUAAAACAAAUUAAGGUAACACAUGCCCAUGGUUUUAAAAAAUUCAAACAGUCAAAAGGGAAAACCGAAUCUCCUUCGUAUCCCUGGUAGGCCCGUGAAGAUGACAGCUGAGGAAACCGAGGCACAGGUCACUUUCCCCUGGUGACCCAGCUGGGAGGUGAGAGCGCUGGCAUUUGAACCAAGGCAGUGUGGCUCCAACGCCAAACUUUUAUCCAUUUUUACGCCUUUGGACUUCAAUGGGAACUACCCUACCAGCUUUCCUGAGUCUCCACCUUGCAGAUAGCGGAUGGUGGGACAUCUCAGCCUCCAUAAUCACCUCACAAAGCUGGUGACAUCUUGGAAGCCGCGUGUUGAGGAUGGCAGACUCACCGCUCUGAAGGACCACAUGGAAGAGUUGCUCCCAGCCCUGAACAGCUACCAAAAACUAUGAGAUAAGCAAGAAAUGCAGGUUUAUUUCAUUUGUGCCGUGGCAUGUCUGGGUCUGUUUGUUACACCUGCUUAACCUACCCUGACACUCACCCAAACCUACAACCUUUGCUCUCAAUGACACUCAUUCCACAAAGGAAGAAGGUGCGGCAAUAACCAAGAGCAUGGCACAGGGUGUGGGACAGAUCUGGGUUUAGGUCCUGGCCCUGUCACUUGUUGGAGGUGUCAACUUGGGACAGUUAACCUCAUGGAGCCUCACACAGUACAACAGACCUAACAACCGUACUUACCACAUAAUGGUUUUGUAAGAAUUAAAUGAGAAACUGUCCCAUGUUUUCCUCAUUUCUCAGGAGCACAUUUGUUUUGUUAGUUUGUUUUACAUUUUAACCUUUCUCAGAUCUAGGCGUGUCUUUUAAUAGAUGAAUGCAUUUCACAGGGUAGUUUUUUUCUUUUCCAUUUGCUUUUCUUUUUCCUGGAAAGCUGUUGUCUGAACGGUUUGGGUGGCAUUGUAGCAGCAAGGAUACACGGUUAGUAAAGGUCCCAGUGAGUGCCCAAUAAAGAAUGGCUCUUGUUUUUAUUAUUACAGCUCCGGCGGACUGGGCUUCCACAGUGAUUCAUUCAGCCAGUAAACUAGAGGUCGCCAUGGGAGGCUGGGUCCAAAUCUGGCCCCAGGGCAUGUUUUCAUUGGCCUAUUUGGGUUGAAGGAAUUGCCAAAACGUGAAAACUGAAAGGCUUCGUAGAGUCAUCUGGAUUUCCGGUUUCUUUUAAAAACAUUUGGAAAAUCUGACUUGCCUGGCCUGCAUUCCGGCGUGGCAUUCGUCAGCUGGAGAUACAGCCAACUGCCCCCUUAGAAGCCCGUUCACCAUGGUCCUCGCCACUUCUUAAUGUGAGAACCGGCCACCCCACUCACUUACGUAACCCACCUGGCUCCUGUAGGCAUUUGACUGUGGGACCCUGUGAUACACGGUAGUUACUGAGUGACCGUCCUGUGCGGCUGCUGUUUCGGUUGAACAAGUAGCCAGCCAGGUGAGUGGGGGCAGGGCGGGUGGUACUGCUGUAUGCCUGCAGAACGAUGUACCUGAGAGUCCGGGUACAGUGGGCAGAGCCUGUCACAGGUAGGAAGGAGAUGGUGAAGGGGCCCUCUUUUCCUAAUCUCACGCCUGGUAUAUGACAGUCACUUUUUUAUAAUCUUAGUUUUCUUCCUUGAAGUGUAGCCUACAUACAUAUGAUAUGUGUAGCACACAUAUCAUAAAUAUACAGUGUGAUGAAGUGUCACAGACUGGACACAACUGUAUGACCAACACCCAGCUCAAGAAAGAGAAGAUCACCAGCACCUGCCAGAAUCCACCCCACGUCCCCUGUUAGUCUCUGACAGCCCCCUCUCGUUCCCGCCAAGAAUAACCACUAUCCUGAGUUUUAACAGCAUCAAUUGAUUCGCCCAUUUCUGCAUUUUAUGAUGUACGGAGCUGCAGCAGCCAUCUUGCAACCAUGAAGGAAAGACCAAGAGAACUGCAAUGACAUCAGCCCAACAUCAGUGAGCAGCUAAACUGACACUAGUACUUGCUCUUCUGGACUUCUUGUCAUAUGAUAGGAAUAAACUUCUAUUUAUCACUUUCUGUGACUUGCAACCAAAUUCAC
rnacentral:lncRNA from 1 species